CAGAGUAGGAACUGGCGCGUCAAGUGCCGGCGGAUGGGAGGUUGCCGCCGGACGAAGAGCUUCCCCGGAGGCUCGCGGUGCCGUUCCGCAUCCGCUGC
rnacentral:ncRNA from 1 species